AAGUCUUCCCGUAUCCCCCGUAUCCCCAUCCCACGCCAAUCCCCAUUACUCUCCCCGUCUCCCGGAUCCCACGCCGGUGCAUCUCCCAGCUCCCUCCCCCCACCUGCUUCCUCCACCUCCAGACGAUGCUGACGGCCAGAUCACGCAGGAGCCUGUGGUCCUCCUCCACCUUCAGUUCGUCUCCUCUCCAGUCGCGCCGCCACCCUGUUCGUGGUCGAGCCGCGGCGAGCAGCAGAGGACCGCCACCGGCUCGUCCACAACCAAUCGGCGAGCAGCAGAGCAGAGGACCCCGUAGCCGCCUACCGCGCCAACCUCCCUCCCUCCUCACGAACGAAGCCAUAGCCCACGGCCAUGGCUAGGGUUUGUACAGUUUUUCCCCAUCUCAUCUGGUAGACCAAAUCAAAGUUCUGCACCUCCUAGUCUCCUAGGCUUGUUACUGUACAGCGGCAACAAAAAUUUCAACACUUUGUUUGCAAGGAAGGGGGUCAUGGAGAUCUCGACGGCGGUGGGUCACACAGGAGGGUGGCGUGGGUCUCAGGAUCACCGCCUCGCCGAUGUGGUCCCUUCCGUCUCUGCCGGAGCAGCGAACGCCUUUGCUUGGUGCUUGACCAAUUGGGCCAGAUAUUUAGGAAAUUGACCUGAAGGUGCUAAAGUUUUGGAACAAGUUGCAUCUGGAUCAAAGGGCAACAUAUUUGCUUAUCGUGAAGACGCUUGCAAGGAUGCAGCGGGAGCAGAUCAUUUGGAGAGAUAGGAUGCCACAGUUUGGUCUUUCUAUGCAUUUUUGGUUUGCCUGUAAUUCUGUUUGCCUUGGCAAGAACUGUAGGUGUCUGGAUAUGCUCUAAUGCUCCUGGUUUACUAUAAAUCUUGGAUUUGUAAUGAUGUAUAAUGAUGUGUAAUGCAUAAAAUGGAAUUUGUGGAUUUUA